rnacentral:rRNA from 1 species
UUAAUUGAAGAGUUUGAUCAUGGCUCAGAUUGAACGCUGGCGGCAGGCCUAACACAUGCAAGUCGAGCGGCAGCACAGAGGAACUUGUUCCUUGGGUGGCGAGCGGCGGACGGGUGAGUAAUGCCUAGGAAAUUGCCCUGAUGUGGGGGAUAACCAUUGGAAACGAUGGCUAAUACCGCAUGAUGCAGGAUGAUCAGCCACACUGGAACUGAGACACGGUCCAGACUCCUACGGGAGGCAGCAGUGGGGAAUAUUGCACAAUGGGCGCAAGCCUNAUGCAGCCAUGCCGCGUGUAUGAAGAAGGCUUCGGGUUGUAAAGUACUUUCAGUCGUGAGGAAGNNGGUGUUGUUAAUAGCAGCAUCAUUUGACGUUAGCGACAGAAGAAGCACCGGCUCGCACAAGCGGUGGAGCAUGUGGUUUAAUUCGANGCAACGCGAAGAACCUUACCUACUCUUGACAUCCAGAGAAGCCAGCGGAGACGCAGGUGUGCUUCGGGAACUCUGAGACAGGUGCUGCAUGGCUGUCGUCAGCUCGUGUUGUGAAAUGUUGGGUUAAGUCCCGCAACGAGCGCAACCCUUAUCCUUGUUUGCCAGCGAGUCAUGUCGGGAACUCAAGGGAGACUGCCGGUGAUAAACCGGAGGAACGUGGGGACGACGUCAAGUCAUCAUGGCCC